GCUAUUAUUUCCUAUUACCACUCGUAUAUCAUUUCUACAAAUAUCCACAAAUAAUAAUUUUUGCCCAAAUGGAUUUUCCACCACCGGACUUUUUCGCCGGCGUUUCCGACGGAAGACCAUCUCCGACCCGGAGAGAACUACAAGGUCCUCGUCCAGCUCCUCUUAAAGUCAACAAAGAUUCCUACAAGAUCAAAAAACCUCCGGUCGCUCCUCCGCCGCAUCCUCCACCACAUACCGCCGCGGUAGCCCCGGCGGCAACGACCCAAAACCCCCAAACGGUGAUUAUCUACGCUGUUUCGCCGAAAGUGUAUCACACGACGGUUAGUGACUUUAUGAGUGUUGUACAAAGACUUACUGGAUCUACUACUUCCUCGAUGGAAACAUCGACAUCUGGGUCGGGUUCGGGUUCUGCUGAUGGGAACUUAUCGCCGGCGGCGAAAUUGGCAUCUAUGGAAAAAGCUAGUAGUCCAUCUACUACAGUUCCUCCGCCUGCUGCUGCUGCUGUUGGUAUGGAAACAUUUGAUUCGAUGGAUAUUUUGGAUAUACUCGGAAAUUCAAGCGUAGAAAUGUGUCAGAUCCCGGGGAUUUUAUCGCCGGCGCCGGCGACUUUACCGCCAGUAUCGCCGCCGGGAUUAUUUUCUCCGUUUCCGACGGAUCCGUUUAUGAUUAUGUUAAGUCCAAGUCCGUCAACGUUGUUUUCAGCUCCGUUGAUUUCGCCGUCUCCGUCAGCUUCUGAUCUAUUCCAUCCAUUCUUUGACUUUU
rnacentral:misc_RNA from 1 species